UUUUUUACCUCAGCAAUUUCUAUAUGGAGUUUUUACUACAAUGUCAAACAUCUUUUAUUUUAUUUUAUUAUUAUUAUAUAUUUAAUCAAAAUCUAUAUAAGUAACAAAACGGUCAAAUUAUUUUGAGGAGAAAAAAAAAAGUAAAAUGACACAAAAUCUAAAAGUGAUUUCCACAGACUAAAUUAAACUAAACUAAAACUAAAACACAUUUUUAAUUAACACUGAUUUUAGAUCCGCGCAGGGUAGUGAGGUAACUUACAAUUCACUUUUUUAAGUAUAUGAUGGCAGGUCACAUAGAAAUAAACUAUGGUGAGGGUUACCGAGGGUUUGCUCACCGUUGCUUUCCCCGCCCACAGAGGUGGCCACUGCGCCCAGACUGAAUAAUGUAUCCAUGUCUCUGCGUCUUGGAAACAGCCAGCGCUACAACUACAACUCACAACGAGAGCCACGUUUGUCAACACAGCAGCUACUACUCAACAGACAGACAGACAGACAGACAGACAGACAGACAGACAGACAGACAGACAGACAGACAGGCAGACAGACAGGCAGACAGACAGACAGACAGACAGACAGGCUGAGUGGUUUCACUGCAGGACGCACGGAUGCGCAAUUACGCACGAGACUAGAGGAAUGUCACCGUCGGCGCGCUGAGCUGUGGUCACUUGUUGAAACGACAUCACCUGUGCGUCAGUAUAGUCUCUCCCAGUCCUCCCAGAACACUUGUAGCAGAAUGGGAUGCUCCACCAGUACUCACACCUCCGGAGUGGAUCCGAGCAGACCGAGCACCAAACCGGAGGAGAGCAACGGGGCCAGCACCACAGGGGCGGCCCACGAGAACGGAAAUGUAGCUGAGGACACUGAAACGCUCCCCGAUGAGACACCUACUGGAGGCACUGUGGCAGAACCUGCAGCAGAUGCAACAUCUGCACAGCCCACAGCAGGGGUGGAACCUCCACCUGCAGCUGCAGCAGCACCUGUAGAGGCAACACCACCUGCAGAACAGGCAACGCCCCCUGCAGAAGAAGCAGCUCCACCUGCAGAAGAGGUAACACCACCUGCAGAAGAGGCAGCACCACCUGCAGAAGAAGCAGCACCAGCAGCAGAAAAGCCUUCAGAGGCUGCAACACAAGAAGCACCAGCAGCUGCAGAGCCAGGGAGCGAGGCCACAGCAGCUGACUCAGCAGAAGCACCAGCUCCCAGUGAGUGAAGAGCAGCACCAUAAUGCUAACGCUGUUUGUAUGACUGAGUAACAGUACGAAUGUCAGUAUGUGUGUGUAAAUUGCCUUGUUGCCAAUUAGCAGACUAUGGUCACCACUGUGCCUUUGAUUCCUCUUUUCUGAUGAUGUAUGGCUGUGAUCUCUGUACAUAUCGACCUCCAGCACUUAAAGUGUGUCUGCUUUCAGGGAAGAUCUAGGAAUGAUUAAUAAUAGUUAUUUAAUUAAUCAUCUGUGUAGUAUGGGGGGCUGACUGUAAAGUUACAUAUACUAAAAUAAACAGCAACAUUUUGCAGUAAACCA
rnacentral:lncRNA from 1 species